CCCAUGCCGGCCAGAGAGCUCUUCCAAGGCUGACUCCUUGUAUCUCCUUCCAACCUACGUUACCAUCAAGCAGGUGUGUUUCUUCUUAGAAGACAUUACAGCAGGAGUGAGAAUCAGAAGGAACAAAUGAGUGUCUGAUGGGGACAGAGGUGAAAAGCUGCUGAUGGAUGAAGACAUGCUGAAAUGAAAAAGAAAAAAAGCAGUCAUUACUGGAUCAUCGUAACAAAGAAUGUAGUCAAGAUGAUACCAACAUAAUUUGAGAUAACCUGUGGCUUUCAACAACAACAACCUCAUAGAAGAAGCAUGAUUUACACACAGAGAAAGCAAAUAAAACAACAGGAAAACCUCAGCUACGUAGGAUUCUUGGUGAACAAGUAAAUCUAGGUAUUUGAACUGGGAAACAAGAAAAUAAUGAGGCAAUUAGUAGUGGGAGUCGAAGCUGAAAGAAGCCAAAAUGAAUGGGAGACAAGCAAGUUAAGAGGACGAGAAGAGCAUUCCAACCACUGCUGGAUUCACAGGAAGUUUAAAGUGAGUGAGAAAGGCAAAAGCUUGAGGUGGAGAAGAUGUACACAGACUAGAAGGAAAGAACCUGACAUGGGAUAGGAAGCGGGGGCAGAGCAGUUGUGCAGAAUCGAAGAUGCAGAAUGUAAGGGGGUAUGUGAAGAGAGAAGGAGAAACAGGUGGAUAGAGACAGACAGCAGGAAAGAGGAGGAGACGCAAGAGACCAAAACACACAUGCAGACAGGAGGCCCCUGAAAAACAGACAAACUAGCCAGUUCCUAAAGAGGCUGGAAUUGCUUCCUUACAUUCCAGUCACUCUGUGCGGAAACACAAUGGGAAAGAGUGGAAGGCUGUGACAUAAACUAAAGUAUUAAGAAACUCAGGAACACCUUGAGAAACGAUAAUGCUCAGUUUAGUUUCUGGUAAGUUUUUAUUAAUGUUCUUUAUGCAGAGAUGCAAAUCAUAUUAGUAGUCAUCUUAUUAUAGAAAUAGUCAUAAGCCUAAGGUUUUAAGAUCACUUCUACAUUAUUUCACUGUGGUAAGAAGCUUAAUUUGCUAAACAAAGAUGGUUCAAGUUUUUAUCAAAGUAUAUGGAAUAUUUAAUCAAACAGUCUAAAAGGUUUUAUAAUGACAAGCAGCAAUUCCUUGUCCCAUCUCUCCCCAACCCCAGUCUCGCUCCCUGGAGGCAACCAUUUUUAAUUCCCUUAGGUAUUUCUUCUGAUAUUUACCUACAUAUUUCUAAAGAAUAUGCUUA